rnacentral:tRNA from 1 species
GCGGGGAUAGCUCAGUUGGGAGAGCAUCAGACUGAAGAUCUGAAGGCCGUGUGUUCAAUUUGUGCUCACCGCA